rnacentral:rRNA from 1 species
AACGAACGCUGGCGGCAGGCCUAACACAUGCAAGUCGAGCGCCCCGCAAGGGGAGCGGCGGACGGGUGAGUAACGCGUGGGAACGUACCCUUUGCUACGGAAUAGCCUCGGGAAACUGGGAGUAAUACCGUAUGUGCUCUUCGGAGGAAAGAUUUAUCGGCAAAGGAUCGGCCCGCGUUGGAUUAGGUAGUUGGUGGGGUAAUGGCCUACCAAGCCGACGAUCCAUAGCUGGUUUGGGAGGAUGAUCAGCCACACUGGGACUGAGACACGGCCCAGACUCCUACGGGAGGCAGCAGUGGGGAAUCUUAGACAAUGGGCGCAAGCCUGAUCUAGCCAUGCCGCGUGAGCGAUGAAGGCCUUAGGGUUGUAAAGCUCUUUCAGUGGGGAAGAUAAUGACUGUACCCACAGAAGAAGCCCCGGCUAACUCCGUGCCAGCAGCCGCGGUAAUACGGAGGGGGCUAGCGUUGUUCGGAAUUACUGGGCGUAAAGCGCACGUAGGCGGACUGGAAAGUCAGAGGUGAAACCCCAGGGCUCAACCUUGGAACUGCCUUUGAAACUCCCGGUCUUGAGGUCGAGAGAGGUGAGUGGAAUUCCGAGUGUAGAGGUGAAAUUCGUAGAUAUUCGGAGGAACACCAGUGGCGAAGGCGGCUCAC